rnacentral:rRNA from 2 species
CACGUAGGGUGCGAGCGUUGUCCGGAAUUAUUGGGCGUAAAGAGCUCGUAGGCGGUGUGUCGCGUCGGCCGUGAAAACUUGGGGCUUAACUCUGAGCGUGCGGUCGAUACGGGCAUCACUUGAGUUCGGCAGGGGAGACUGGAAUUCCUGGUGUAGCGGUGAAAUGCGCAGAUAUCAGGAGGAACACCGGUGGCGAAGGCGGGUCUCUGGGCCGAUACUGACGCUGAGGAGCGAAAGCGUGGGGAGCGAACAGG